GUACAUUUUUUAGCCUUGUCGAGUCCUCCCUGUUUAUGCAAAGUUCACACAUGGGGAUCUUUUGUGGCAUCUUCUUACUGCACAUCAUACAUAAAUCUGAUAUUCUUAUGCUUGUUCUGGUUGGUUUCGAGAUAUUGGUCAUCAUUCACCAAAACUUGCUGGUGUACUUGUUAAGCUGUGAGGAUCAUAAUGUGGGAAUAACUGAUAUUUUGCUGAUUUGCUAUUGAAACUAAGGAACUUUUUACAAGAAUACCUUUCUUACCAUGUCAGUGCUUGCGUCGAGCAGAUUGAGAUCUCGGGCUUUCACUAAAUG